AGCGAACGCUGGCGGCAGGUCUAACACAUGCUAGUUGAACGAAGUCUUAGUACUUUGUCGCGGGCGGGUGUGUGACACGUGGGAACGUACACUUUGGUUCGUAACUACUCUAGGAAACUUGAGGUAAUAACUGAUGAGCACUUAGGGGGCAAGAUUUAUCGCCGAAAGAGCGGCCCGCGUUAGAUUAGCUAGUUGGUGAGGUAAAGGCUCACCAAGGCUACGAUCUAUAGCUGGUCUGAGAGGAUGAUCAGCCACACUGGGACUGAGACACGGCCCAGACUCCUACGGGAGGCAGCAGUGGGGAAUCUUGCGCAAUGGGCGAAAGCCUGACGCAGCCAUGCCGCGUGAAUGAUGAAGGUCUUAGGAUUGUAAAAUUCUUUUACCAGGGACGAUAAUGACGGUACCUGGAGAAAAAGCCCCGGCUAACUUCGUGCCAGCCGCCGCUGUAACAC
rnacentral:rRNA from 1 species